rnacentral:rRNA from 1 species
CCUACGGGAGGCAGCAGUGGGGAAUAUUGGACAAUGGGGGCAACCCUGAUCCAGCCAUGCCGCGUGUGUGAAGAAGGCCCUCGGGUUGUAAAGCACUUUCAGUGAGGAAGAACGCCUGGUGGUUAAUACCCAUCAGGAAAGACAUCACUCACAGAAGAAGCACCGGCUAACUCCGUGCCAGCAGCCGCGGUAAUACGGAGGGUGCCAGCGUUAAUCGGAAUUACUGGGCGUAAAGCGCGCGUAGGUGGCUUGAUAAGCCGGUUGUGAAAGCCCCGGGCUCAACCUGGGAACGGCAUCCGGAACUGUCAAGCUAGAGUGCAGGAGAGGAAGGUAGAAUUCCCGGUGUAGCGGUGAAAUGCGUAGAGAUCGGGAGGAAUACCAGUGGCGAAGGCGGCCUUCUGGACUGACACUGACACUGAGGUGCGAAAGCGUGGGUAGCAAACAGGAUUAGAUACCCCGGUAGUC